GACAUUAUAGGUUGUAGGGAACUGAAAAGGGACCGACCUUCGGGGAGCCUAUACAGGUGUUGCAUGGCUGUCGUUAGCUCGUGUCGUGGAGAUGUUCGGUUAAGUCCGCUAACGAGCGCAACCCUCGUCGUAUGUUAUAUGUGUCAUACGAGACUGCCGGUAAAAAGCCGGAGGAAGGUGAGGAUGAUGUCAAGUCAGCAUGACCUUUAUAUCCAGGGCUACACACACGCUACAAUGGUCUGUACAAUGGGUAGCCAAGCCGCGAGGCGGAGCCAAUCCUCCAAAACCGGCCUCAGUUCAGAUUGUAGGCUGCAACUCGCCUGCAUGAAGUUGGAGUUGCUAGUAACCGCGCGUCAGCUAUAGUGCGGUGAAUACGUUCCCGGGGCUU
rnacentral:rRNA from 1 species